rfam:Camelus ferus unplaced genomic scaffold scaffold258, whole genome shotgun sequence.
GGGGGUAUAGCUCAGUGGCAGAGUGUGUGCUUGGCAUACACGAGGUCCUAGGUUCGAUCCUCAGUGCCUCUG